CAUUCCGGUUGGCAUCUGCGGAACCGCUCGGUUGAUGGAGACGCAGUCGACAUUUCACCACUCAUAGAGCUGGUUAUGGUGGCGAUUCCCCAUCAUUUAAGCUUAAAACACACAAUCCCGAGCCUCAAGACAAUUCAUUGUUGAAGUCAUUGCAGGCAUUGAGAUCCCAGGUGUGAAUUAGUGUAAACUGCUGGGAUCAGGAUGAAAGGGCCCAGUUAUUUGGGUACACCGGGUCCUGGACCUUCUCUGCCAAGUCCUUGGAGUUCUGGAUGUGAUGUUCCACGUCGCCAAAUAAUGGUGACAGGAAUGUGACCAAGUGUCUCGCAGUGUUGUACGAGUAGGAGUUUAUAUACUCCUCUUUAUUUUUGGGAGCCCGUAUGAACACUAAGAAGAUUCCCUACGAUAAAAGCAGGAGUAGAAGUUGCAGUUGGUAGCUUUUUCUAGGACUUAGCGAAUCCACAUAGCGUGCAAAUGAACUAAACACCACCUGAAUUAUAUAUCAUGAGCUACGCGCAAUCACUGAGGGGGAACGGUGAGCCCAGAGGCCUUCGUGAUAUUGUGACGUGCAUGGGCCACAGGCAUUACUAGACCCAAUUUCAUCUCAGCUCAAGUGUGAACGUGCAUUCACUGUGCAAUGUUUUUAGGCGACUUCAUUUUGGUCACGUGAUACUGACAUUUCAGUCUGAAAGUGUAAAGGGAGAAAAGUAAGUCACCGCUUCUAUUCAAGAUUCAAGCGGCUUUAUUAACAUAUAAAGGCUUCUCAUUGCCAAAGUAUUGGUAACUUUAAAGACAUACACAUUUACAAACGAUUAAAAAACACAAAUUAACAAUGAGAGGGGAUAUUCAAGCUUAACAGAAAAAUUAAGCACAGUCAGUUCUAUAAAGCUGCUUAUGGGUCUAUUAUAUUCAUCUGUACUGCAACACUUUAUGAGUUUGGGGGUUAUAAUUUUCCAUUUUGCCUGUGGAGAGGAGACAGUUUUACUUUUUUUCACAUUUAUCCACCAAACACAGAAAUAUACCUUCUGGAUUGAACAUAAAAUUUCCUUCAUAAAAACUGGAGACUACCUUAUACAUAUUCAGUGGUGGACUGAUCUUAAAUGCCAAAGCCU